rnacentral:rRNA from 1 species
UACGGAGGGUGCGAGCGUUGUCCGGAAUCACUGGGCGUAAAGGGCGCGUAGGCGGCGCGGGAAGUCAUCGGUGAAAGUUCAGGGCUCAACUCUGAAUCGGCCGGUGAUACUCUCGUGCUCGAGCACUGUAGAGGCAGGUGGAAUUCCGGGUGUAGCGGUGGAAUGCGUAGAGAUCCGGAAGAACACCGGUGGCGAAGGCGGCCUGGUGGGCAGUAGCUGACGCUGAUGCGCGACAGCGUGGGGAGCAAACAGG